rnacentral:lncRNA from 1 species
UCCUACCAACCCCACAACUUCCAUCCCCCUAACACUUCCUGCCCUUACCAACAAUUCCGUAACCCUCCUCCGCCGCAAAACCCUCCCGCAUACAACUAUCGUCCGCAAAACCCUCCUCCUCCUCCGCCUCCCGGUUCCACUUCUCAGCCACAAAACCAACCUCCCUCCGCUCCUCAGUCUCAAAACCCUCCCACAUACACCUAUCGUCCGCAAAACCCUCCUCCUCCUCCGCCUCCCGGUUCCACUUCUCAGCCCCAAAACCAACCUCCCUCCGCUCCUCAGUCUCAAAACCAGCCUGUCUCUACUCCUCGGCAGCAAAAUCCCAAACAGGCUAUUGAUAAGGUUGACAAAGCUUCUUCC